GGCGGGAUAGCUCAGUCGGUAGAGCACAUGACUGAAAAUCAUGGUGUCCCCGGUUCAAUUCCGGGUCCCGCCA
rnacentral:tRNA from 1 species